ACGCUGGCGGCAGGCCUAACACAUGCAAGUCGAGCGGUAACAUUUCUAGCUUGCUAGAAGAUGACGAGCGGCGGACGGGUGAGUAAUGCUUGGGAAUAUGCCUUAGGGUGGGGGACAACAGUUGGAAACGACUGCUAAUACCGCAUAACGUCUACGGACCAAAGGGGGCUUCGGCUCUCGCCCUUAGAUUAGCCCAAGUGGGAUUAGCUAGUUGGUGAGGUAAUGGCUCACCAAGGCGACGAUCCCUAGCUGGUUUGAGAGGAUGAUCAGCCACACUGGAACUGAGACACGGUCCAGACUCCUACGGGAGGCAGCAGUGGGGAAUAUUGCACAAUGGGCGCAAGCCUGAUGCAGCCAUGCCGCGUGUGUGAAGAAGGCCUUAGGGUUGUAAAGCACUUUCAGUAAGGAGGAAAGGUUAGUAGUUAAUACCUGCUAGCUGUGACGUUACUUACAGAAGAAGCACCGGCUA
rnacentral:rRNA from 1 species